rnacentral:lncRNA from 1 species
AAAUAAAUGGUGAGAUCAUCUUUGGUCAUGUAUAGAAAGUACAAAUCCCAGGAAAUUACCAAAAGUAUUUUUCUUGGAACUUGAAAAGCCUAUUCUAAAGUGUAUAUGCAAGAGAAAAUGGCUAAGAUUCACCGAGAAAAUUUUGAAGAAGAAUAAAAUGAAGGAGGGUCUGAAUACAGGAAUGCUUUUCAAGCACUCCCCAGAAUUUCAGUCAGCUAGCUAGAUAAUUAAUGUUGGAUGACCAUCAUUACCUUAAGUGUUUUUUUUUUCAAAAUGAGGCCCAUAAUCUUCCUUUAAAAAAAUAAAAAAAAUCACUACCAUUAUUUCUUUACCUUGUAAUCUUGUUAAUAGUACCACAUUUCUCCCAGCAUAACAAUCAUCUUCAACUCAAUUUCAUUCAAAGCACAUUGGCUACAAACAUGGUAGGUACCACAUUAACCAUUGUGGCAUGUCAAGGGCACAGACUCUGCCCCCAGGGAAUGUCUAAUAAUGCCCUCCAUCUAACCAAUCACUAAGUCGUAUGGAUUUUUCCUUUGAAAUGUGUCUCGUGUUUUCCUCUUGGCUCUCUUUUGUGCUGUCACCAUCUCAUAUCUGAAUCACAACCGUGGUGGCAUUAUGGCCAUCCCCUCCACGAAACCUUCUUCCUGCUGCCCAGAAUGCAACAAUGUCUUCCAUUAUUUCUUGACCCCACUAUUGCUGGUGCUCAAUAAGUACUUAUUAGAUUUAAUCAAGUUCUUCAAUCCCCACAGUUGUCUCUGAACAGCCUAACUGUAUCCAGAAGUGAGAGGAUGUCUGUAAAGUCAAUGCAAUUUUAUUCAUACGGAGCAACAGUUGAUGCUUGCAUGCUUGCCCCAUCCCCCAUCCCCAUCCGGGGGUUAUCCCUGCCUUGCA